GACGAACGCUGGCGGCGUGCUUAACACAUGCAAGUCGAACGAAGUGGCGAACGGGUGAGUAAUACGUGGGUAACCUGCCCUCCUUUUUGGGAUAAGCCUUGGAAACGGGGCUCAAUACCCAAUAAAGGGGGAUGGGCUCGCGGCCUAUCAGCUUGUUGGUGGGGUGAUGGCCUACCAAGGCGGUGACGGGUAGCCGGCCGGAGAGGGUGACCGGCCACAUUAAGGCUGAGAUACGGCCCAGGCUCCAACGGGUGGCAGCGGUGGGGAAUGUUGCACAAUGGGCGAGCGCCUGAGGCAGCGACGCCGAGUGGGUGUUGGGGUCUUUAGGGUUGUAAACCUCUUUCGAAGUCGAACGGGUAGGUGGAGAAGAAGCGCCGGCUAACUACGUGCCAGCAGCCGCGGUAAUUC
rnacentral:rRNA from 1 species